rnacentral:tRNA from 1 species
GGGGUUGUGGCUCAGUGGUAGAGCACUUGCCUCACAUGUAUGAGGCCCUGGGUUCGAUCCUCAGCACCACA